rnacentral:rRNA from 1 species
UUCAUAAUAACUAAACGAAUCGCAUGGCCUUGCGCCGGCGAUGGUUCAUUCAAAUUUCUGCCCUAUCAACUUUCGAUGGUAGGAUAGUGGCCUACCAUGGUAUCAACGGGUAACGGGGAAUUAGGGUUCUAUUCCGGAGAGGGAGCCUGAGAAACGGCUACCACAUCCAAGGAAGGCAGCAGGCGCGCAAAUUACCCAAUCCCGACACGGGGAGGUAGUGACAAUAAAUACUGAUACAGGGCUCUUUCGGGUCUUGUAAUUGGAAUGAGUACAAUUUAAAUCCCUUAACGAGGAACAAUUGGAGGGCAAGUCUGGUGCCAGCAGCCGCGGUAAUUCCAGCUCCAAUAGCGUAUAUUAAAGUUGUUGCAGUUAAAAAGCUCGUAGUUGAACCUUGGGCCUGGCUGGCCGGUCCGCCUCACCGCGUGUACUGGUCCGGCCGGGCCUUUCCUUCUGGGGAGCCGCAUGCCCUUCACUGGGCGUGUCGGGGAACCAGGACUUUUACUUUGAAAAAAUUAGAGUGUUCAAAGCAGGCCUUUGCUCGAAUACAUUAGCAUGGAAUAAUAGAAUAGGACGUGCGGUUCUAUUUUGUUGGUUUCUAGGACCGCCGUAAUGAUUAAUAGGGAUAGUCGGGGGCAUCAGUAUUCAAUUGUCAGAGGUGAAAUUCUUGGAUUUAUUGAAGACUAACUACUGCGAAAGCAUUUGCCAAGGAUGUUUUCAUUAAUCAGUGAACGAAAGUUAGGGGAUCGAAGACGAUCAGAUACCGUCGUAGUC